rnacentral:rRNA from 1 species
GGCGGACGGGUGAGUAACGCGUGAGAAUCUGCCCCUAAGACCGGGACAACAGUUGGAAACGACUGCUAAUACCGGAUGAGCUGAGAAGUAAAAGAUUUAUCGCUUAGGGAUGAGCUCGCGUCAGAUUAGCUAGUUGGUAGUGUAAAGGACUACCAAGGCGACGAUCUGUAGCUGGUCUGAGAGGAUGAGCAGCCACACUGGGACUGAGACACGGCCCAGACUCCUACGGGAGGCAGCAGUGGGGAAUUUUCCGCAAUGGGCGAAAGCCUGACGGAGCAAUACCGCGUGAGGGAGGAGGGUUCUUGGAUCGUAAACCUCUUUUCUCUGGGAAGAUAAUGACGGUACCAGAGGAAUAAGCAUCGGCUAACUCCGUGCCAGCAGCCGCGGUAAUACGGAGGAUGCAAGCGUUAUCCGGAGUGAUUGGGCGUAAAGAGUCCGUAGGUGGUUGUGAAAGUCUGUGGUUAAAGCGCGAAGCUCAACUUCGUAAGGGCCAUGGAAACUAUGCGACUAGAGUGAGAUAGGGGUAGAGGGAAUUCUUGGUGUAGCGGUGAAAUGCGUAGAUAUCAAGAAGAACACCGGUGGCGAAAGCGCUCUACUGGAUCUUAACUGACACUGAGGGACGAAAGCUAGGGGAGCGAAAGGGAUUAGAUACCCCUGUAGUCCUAGCCGUAAACGAUGGAUACUAGUUGUUGCGGGUAUCGACCCCUGCAGUGACGAAGCUAACGCGUUAAGUAUCCCGCCUGGGGAGUACGCACGCAAGUGUGAAACUCAAAGGAAUUGACGGGGGCCCGCACAAG